UACGUGGGGUGCAAGCGUUGUCCGGUAUCAUUGGGCGUAAAGCGUUCGUAGGCGGCAAGGUAAGUCAGGUGUUAAAGCCCGGGGCUCAACUCCGGUUCGGCAUUUGAUACUAUCUAGCUAGAAUGCGGUAGAGGUAAAGGGAAUUCCUGGUGUAACGGUGAAAUGCGUAGGUAUCAGGAGGAACAUCGGUGGCGAAAGCGCUUUACUGGGCCGUUAUUGACGCUGAGGAACGAAAGCCGGGGGAGCGAAU
rnacentral:rRNA from 1 species